rnacentral:rRNA from 1 species
GGCUCAGGAUGAACGCUAGCUACAAGGCUUAAACACAUGCAAGUCGAGGGGCAUCAGGAAGAAGCUUGUCUUCUUUGCUGGCGACCGGCGCACGGGUGAGUAACCACGUAUCCAACCUGCCCUUUACUCGGGGAUAGCCUUUCGAAAGAAAGAUUAAUACCCGAUAGCAUAAUGAUUCCGCAUGGUUUCAUUAUUAAAGGAUUCCGGUAAAGGAUGGGGAUGCGUUCCAUUAGGUUGUUGGUGAGGUAACGGCCCACCAAGCCUUCGAUGGAUAGGGGUUCUGAGAGGAAGGUCCCCCACAUUGGAACUGAGACACGGUCCAAACUCCUACGGGAGGCAGCAGUGAGGAAUAUUGGUCAAUGGACGAGAGUCUGAACCAGCCAAGUAGCGUGCAGGAUGACGGCCCUAUGGGUUGUAAACUGCUUUUAUAAGGGAAUAAAGUGAGUCUCGUGAGACUUUUUGCAUGUACCUUAUGAAUAAGGACCGGCUAAUUCCGUG